AUUGAACGCUGGCGGCAUGCUUUACACAUGCAAGUCGAACGGUAACAGGUCUUCGGAUGCUGACGAGUGGCGAACGGGUGAGUAAUGCAUCGGAACGUGCCCAGUCGUGGGGGAUAACGCAGCGAAGGCUGCGCUAAUACCGCAUACGAUCUAUGGAUGAAAGCGGGGGACCGUAAGGCCUCGCGCGAUUGGAGCGGCCGAUGUCAGAUUAGGUAGUUGGUGGGGUAAAGGCCCACCAAGCCAACGAUCUGUAGCUGGUCUGAGAGGACGACCAGCCACACUGGGACUGAGACACGGCCCAGACUCAUACGGGAGGCAGCAGUGGGGAAUUUUGGACAAUGGGCGCGAGCCUGAUCCAGCAAUGCCGCGUGCAGGAAGAAGGCCUUCGGGUUGUAAACUGCUUUUGUACGGAACGAAACGGCUCUCUCUAAUACAGAGGGCUAAUGACGGUACCGUAAGAAUAAGCACCGGCUAACUACGUGCCAGCCGCCGCCGUAA
rnacentral:rRNA from 1 species